rnacentral:rRNA from 1 species
UACGAAGGGGCUAGCGUUGCUCGGAAUCACUGGGCGUAAAGGGUGCGUAGGCGGGUCUUUAAGUCAGGGUGAAUCCUGGAGCUCAACUCCAGAACUGCCUUUGAUACUGAAGAUCUUGAGUUCGGGAGAGGUGAGUGGAACUGCGAGUGUAGAGGUGAAAUUCGUAGAUAUUCGCAAGAACACCAGUGGCGAAGGCGGCUCACUGGCCCGAGUACUGACGCUGAGGCACGGAAAGCGAUGG